AGGUUGAGACAAUAUUGGACAACAUAUACGUAUAAACGCUAAAGGUACAGAUACUCAUUUUGGAGAGCCGCCACCUUAGGAUUCUACUCAACGGGUUGAAGUGCUCCAUUGUCUCGGAGCCUAAACUUUUGGUACUAAUCCUUAUAAUGUAUAUAUUUGUGUAUUUUGGGGGUACGGCGGGGCCCUGUCUCGUCAUAUGCUAUUGUUAAUCCUCUUAGAGGUCUGUAGACACAUGAGUGGGUUGUAUGUAGAUGUUGUCUGGUGUACUAGUAUGGCUUAUGUUUUUGGACAUUUACAUUCGGAGUGAAAGCCUUGUCGGCUUACGUAUUAUGUUAUCUUAUUUUUGACAAUUAAGACUCCCCAAGAAAUAGCUGAUUUUGGUAUAUAUAUAAGUGACCGUUUGAGACAACGUGCUACCCAUAUAAAUUCUA